GGGAAGUGACACAAGAGAAAUUUCUCUUUAAAAGGAGCUGUCUGAACCAGUUCAAGGGAGUUCGAUUUAGUUCAGCUUUGGUAGCUGAAUUGGAGGUCAGGAGUCAGAGGAGGCUGCUGGGUCCCUGAACGCUAGAGUUUUGCUUGGAAAGAUCUUGUGUUUUCUGGAACAAUGAUGAUGGGAAAUUGGUUCAACCACACCAGAGUAAACUCCUGGCUCUUUCCAGAGGGACCAAUGUGCUGUGAUGCCAGUUAGCUUGGCUUCUGGGACUUGAAACCCCUUCAAAGAAGUUUUUAGACUCUUCUAAGCUGACACUGAGAUGGUCCUAAAUGUCACCAUAACUUGAUGGAGACAGUUAAGAUGACGUCCUGAUGAAGGGGAACUCAAUUAAGGCCAACAAUCUCAACUACUAUCUAUAAGGAUAAGAGCUAUUUAAAAUGAUUUGCAUUUGACAUCCCAUGUAUAACCUACAUCAAAUUCCUUACCAUUUAAGGGAGUUUAGAAAAUUAAUGUUAAAAAUUGUUUCUACAUGUAACUUGAAAAAAUAAAAUGAAAGAAAAAAUUUA